GGAAAUAGAAACACAGCAGAAGGGAGUUAAGAGUAGGGCCGGCCAGUCUUCAGCAGCUGGGUUGAAACCAGUUUCUGCAGUUCUCCAUCUCCAGUGUCCCAGGGAGAUCUGGAAAGACUCAACUGGACUGGACUCACAGACGUCUCAGCCUGGUCUUUAGAUCCAUUUUAACCACCUCACGCCAAAUGCCAAGGUAACUGCUUGGAACUUUAACCCCGGCGUUCUCAGGAGUCUGGGAGGAUCCACAUGGAAACGUACGUUUUAAUCAAAUUCAGCACAAGACUUGCCAAGUGGAGACUGCAGUCAAUCAAGGUGUUGAAAGUAACUCACCAUGGCAUUUAGGAUGUGUGGAGUGGGGAUAUUGGGCAUCCGGAGAGAAGAGAAUGCGACUCAAAAAAGGUAGACAUAUCAGUGGAGUAGAGUUUCCAGGAGAAAUGAUGGACAGACAGGAAACAGCCAAGGGAAGGGUCAUGGAAGGAUUGCAAGCCCCACCCAGGUUGUUGCUUCAGCAGGGCAGGACUUCUGGACCUUCACAGUGGGCCUCCUGGGUCAGAGAGUGAAGAUGGGUCAUCCAGCUUUUCUAUAUGGAGUCAAUUGCUAGUGCUAAAUUCAUUCAUUGAAGACCUAGACUGUACUUGGAAAUGAAAUCCUUAGAGGUAAGGACACCAUAUGGUGACCACGUGAAACCAUAAACUUAUAGGUUCCUUUGUCUCUAAGAAGAGGAUGAGGCCCACAAGCAUCACAAAGAGGGAAGAGAGCGUCAGGAAACUUCUAGGAGGAAAGGGGGGUCUGGAAGCUAGAAAAGGGAUUCUUGGAAGAAGCCAGUCAGCUGCCCCUUGCUUUGACGCUGAGCUUCCAGAUCUGUGGAGCCGUGCUCUGUAUCAGCUGCUCACAUGUAGAACUGAUCGUCACUGACCGGCUUCCCUUUAGCUACCCAUCUGGAGCCUAAUACUCUGACCGCACUGUGAGGAAGAACCAGAAAUGCCACCAAAACAACCAAGCACCCAAACUUUAGUUCCAUAGGGCUUCGGGGACCAUGACAGUAUGCCUUCUAAUAGUCCAGACUUGCUUCUCAAUGCUCAGGGUCACACCGGCUUGAAUGCACCCCAGGGCUGGAUUCUGAAAGCCUGGUCCUCCUCUAUAAACCCUGGGAAACAGAAGUCCCUGCUGCUUCACUUGUUCCAAGAAUUAAAUGGGGUGACUGGAAGAGGGGGCUCUGCCAGACUGGAACCAUGCAAGGUGGCAUGGCAUGAGGAUCUACACUCAAAGGAUGUAACAACAUUCCUACAGCCUAGGCGCCUGAGUAGAAGACGGCCAGUCUACUAUAGCGUGAAGGGAUGUCCUCCCGGCAGGUGAAUGGCUCUAGUCUGCCAAGAUACGCAUGCCUGGGUCCUUAUGUCCUGCACCCUUUAAGGGUAGUGUCCUCAUUUGGUCAUGCCUAUUUCAUGGCUGCCUGUCUAGGAGCUAGUCUACAAAAAGAUAGAGUCAAUGGGGUGCACAUGCCCAUUCACACUUUAAUUUGCAACAUAAAACCAAGUUCUUUCCACUUUGCCUGCCCCCCGUUUUGCACAGCCAUCCUGUCUUGGCCCCUCAAGUCAGAAACAGAGCUGUGAUGGUAGCCAUUAUACGAGAUCUUACAAAAUUCUACUUGACAAAGACUCUGGAAAACACUGAAGGAAAAGGCAACGCCAAUGGCCAGUGCCAUGUUCUUGUUGUAGAUUACAGGAGCCUUGGAGGAGUUUGGUAAAGACGGUCAGUAUUGUUAGAAAUUUUCUGGGGGCAGGGGAGUAAAGGCUAACUUCUGGGUAACUUUCAAACCUUGACAAAGUGACUCAGCAUUGACCUCCAGGACCAACCAUGAAUAGUUAAAAGGUUUCUGUUCUAGAGACGCACAUGGAUCCUAUGCGUGCCUACAGCAGAUGGGAUGCACACUUUGUUGUGGUGGACAGUGACCUGCCUCUGGAGGUUCCAAAUCUGUAAUACUUAUACAGCAGAUGGGUGCACACUUUGUUGUGGUGGACAGUGACCUGCCUCUGGAGGUUCCAAAUCUGUAAUACUUAUACAGCAGAUGGGAUGCACACUUUGUUGUGGUGGACAGUGACCUGCCUCUGGAGGUUCCAAAUCUGUAAUACUUAUACAGCAGAUGGGAUGCACACUUUGCUAUGGAGGACAGUGACCUGCCUCUGGAGGUUCCAAAUCUGUAAUACUUAUACAGCAGAUGGGAUGCACACUUUGUUGUGGUGGACAGUGACCUGCCUCUGGAGGUUCCAAAUACUUAUCUGGCAGAGAUGAUUUCGAUGGGUGGGGUGCUUUAGUGAGACACUAGUCCUGACAGUUUCGGAAACUCCUUUUAACAACAGCCUGAAACUCCUAGGAGCCCACCGUAAACAGAAGCCGUGGCACUAUCCUUGAUUUAUGAACGAAAAUCCAAAAUAUUUCCCUUUAAAUACAAUCCUGCUGAAUGGUCUCCAUCCCAGAAUGGGGCUUCAAUCUCCUCCUGCCAGAACUGCUAUGUGGCAAGCAGACGCCAGGCUCUGUGUGAAAUCCCAGGUUGUCCUUUGGCAAACAGGUCAGCAUCAGGACCAUUGACGGUCACCUGGGGUUGGCCUGAUUCAUAUUGAAACUCUACCUUUUAGAUUGGUUUUUAAUUUCCCCCACCUCCUAGGUCUCAUUGUUACCUCUCUCCACCACAGGAACCCUGACACUGUCCUGCUUGACGCCCUCUUAGUAGACACCUGUUCCCUAUAUUUGGAGGCUGCCUGACCUCAGAGUCUGGAUUUCAGCUGCCCCUGUUGCAGUUCUCAGUGGAGGCUUGCUCCCUGUGUUUAGAGGCUGGUUUUUACACUCAGAUAGCAGCUGCCUGACCUUGGAGCCUGGUUCCCAGCUGCCAUGCUGUAGCUGUCAGUAAGGCCUUGUCCCUGCUCACAGAGCCUGGACUCUGCUUGCCACGUAGCAUUUCUGGCAGGAGGAGAUUGAAGCCCCAUGCACUGGCAAUGCUCCCGGAACUGCAGGAAAUCUCUCCGUGUUUGUUUUUGCUCUUAACAGUCAAAAUUCUGUGACUCCAGAAUGAUUUCCAGGAAUUACAGUAUGAGAACUUAAUAUGUGUGCUUUUUAUUUUCUUCUUCUUCAAAAAAUAAAAAAUAAAAAU